rnacentral:rRNA from 1 species
UACGAAGGGGGCUAGCGUUGCUCGGAAUCACUGGGCGUAAAGCGCGUGUAGGCGGCUGGUUAGGUGUGAUGUGAAAUCCCGGGGCUCAACCCCGGGCCUGCAGUGGAUACGGGCUGGCUGGAGGCAGGCAGGGGAGAACGGAAUUCCUGGUGUAGCGGUGAAAUGCGCAGAUAUCAGGAGGAACACCGGUGGCGAAGGCGGUUCUCUGGGCCUGUUCUGACGCUGAGGAGCGAAAGCGUGGGGAGCGAACAGG